AUUGAACGCUGGCGGCAUGCUUUACACAUGCAAGUCGAACGGUAACAGGCCGCAAGGUGCUGACGAGUGGCGAACGGGUGAGUAAUGCAUCGGAACGUGCCCAGUCGUGGGGGAUAACGCAGCGAAAGCUGGGCGAAUACCGCAUACGAACGUUGGAUGAAAGCGGGGGACCGUAAGGCCUAGCGCGAGUGGAGCGGCCGAUGUCAGAUUAGGUAGUUGGUGGGGUAAAGGCCUACAAAGCCGACGAUCUGUAGCUGGUCUGAGAGGACGACCAGCCACACUGGGACUGAGACACGGCCCAGACUCCUACGGGAGGCAGCAGUGGGGAAUUUUGGACAAUGGGCGCAAGCCUGAUCCAGCAAUGCCGCGUGCAGGAAGAAGGCCUUCGGGUUGUAAACUGCUUUUGUACGGAACGAAACGGUCUGGGUUAAUACCCUGGGCUAAUGACGGUACCGUAAGAAUAAGCACCGGCUAACUACGUGCCAGCAGCCGCGGUAACAC
rnacentral:rRNA from 1 species